rnacentral:lncRNA from 1 species
AUUCAUUGCUAGUGUGAGAAUAGGUUUAGCUGGGUUCCUAUGCUUUUGAAGUGGGAAUGGAUAAGACACAUUUGUUAGCUGCUGCCUGGAAGAUCGUCUGGGACCUUGAUCUGGGAGCCUGAGUCCCCACAUGGGUGUUUCUGCCUCGUGAGUUGGCAUCUCUUUCCAGCAGCUGCUGAUUCUCUUGGGGUUUUGUUUGUUUCUUUGUUUGUGGUUGUUUUGUUAUUGUUUAUUUUUUAGAUAGGUUUUCCUGUAUCCCAGGCUGAUCUCGCUCCACCUAUGUGGCCCAGGAUGAAAUCCUGGCCCACCCUGCCUCUACUGACCAAUUGCUGCGACUGUGUCUGCCGAUGUGCCCGGAUCGUGCCCGGAUCUCCUGGGGCACUCAUAGGUUCUUAGUCCUCUACGCAGCCACAAGCACGGCCAGCAGAGAUUCUAGGAGCAGAAUAACUAGCUUCACUUCCUGUGGAAUCUGGACCUGGAAUGUCUCCCAAAGGCCAUGUGUGAAAAGUCCCCAGACUACAGUGCUAUUUGGUUUGGAACUUUUAGGAAGUGGGCCCAUUAGAAGAAAGUUAGGUCAUUGGGGCCACACCCUUGAAGAGAAUAUUGGAGCCUCAGUCCUCUCUUGGGGUGUUUCCCGGCUUCCAGGAGAUGAAGUUUUAUCCACCACACCUCUGGCUGUGAUGUACUAUGCUAGUUACAACAGGUCCUUUGAAACUGUGAGUCAAAAUUAACCUUUCCUCUUUUUAAGUUCAUUUUCUCAGGUUGUUUUGUCACAGUGACCAAAAGCUAACACACUUACUAAUUCAGGGAUGGUGUUCGUGUGUGUGUGUGUGUGUGUGUGUGUGUGUGUGUGUGUGUGCCCGCCCUGAGGAGGGAGGGGAUACUGACGGUGGCCCCAUCUUGAGAGUGUCUGGAGCAGAAGGAGAAAGCAGUUCUUAUUUGAGGGGUCAUUGGGGAACUGGGGAUGAAGCCAAAGGUCCCGUGUGUACAAAGCGCAUGCUCUACCAUGCAGCACACGCUGAUCUGGCAAUUUCUUCCUAAUGCUCGCUCUGUCGGUCUGUUCAUUACAUCAUGGUGUGAGGACAACUUUAAUUCUUUCUCAAACACUGCAUUGUCUCCUACAGACUCUGUCCCCGUACUGAAAUUAAUGUACUGGAUAGAGAGAUUCUGCCUGACCUAGAACUUGCAUCAAUCUUUCUGCCACCGCCAUCUGGAUAAUGGGGUUACAGGUGGACAAGACUAAAUUUUAUUUAAUUAGCAAUUUUUGAACAUGUACAGAAAUAUAAAGUAUGAGUCCCUACCACACAGCC